AAUCGAUGCCCAAGUUAAUUAUUAUUGUGUACAAAUGCAUCCCCCCGUAUCGAUAUGUUUGUUUUCUUCCCCAAACAAGUAUUAAUCAAGAAAAAUCUUCAUGGGUGUGAUACUACCCUUUCAGUGUAAUCUUUCUUCCCACUGAUUUGCAGAAGUAUAUCUAUUUAACAAGAUGCACUUCACCUGCAAAGCUAUUAGAAGUACAUUAAUGUUUAAGUUCAAGCUAACCCAGUAGCUUUACUUAAACUAACAAAUCUUUUUAAACAAUUAUUAAACGUCUCUUUCAAAUCUAGUUUCUUGAUAUGAUGUCUUCCUCAAACCCUUUUCCACACCCUACUUCAACCAUUCACUAUGUCUUCCCUCCUUCCAAUUGCUAUCUUGAUCAGGAAAAAGAUGAUCUUUACACCGACCACCCAAACCCAUUUCUCUCCGGUGAUUGUCUUAUGGCCAAAGAAGAUAUUACUACAAGUAAGAAAGAUUUAGUUGAAGAAAUAGGGUUGGAACAAUGUGAUGAGUAUAAUAAUCUUUUCUGGUCUGAAAUCCAGAACAAGAAAAGUUCCAAGAAAGACCACCAUAGCAAGAUCCAUACCGCUCAAGGCCCGAGAGAUCGGAGGGUGAGAUUGUCAAUUGAAGUUGCAAAAAAGUUCUUUUGUCUUCAAGAUAUGUUGGGAGUUGACAAAGCAAGCAAAACCCUCGACUGGCUCUUUGAAAAGUCCAAGAUCUCAAUUAAAGAAUUAAUUAAAAGCAAGAAAGAAGGCUCAUCUUCAACUGUUACUGACCAAUCUGAAGUUGUGUUCCUGGAAACUGGAUCAGAUGAACAAGAUAAAGGGGUGAACAAGAGGUGUGGUGAGGGAAACAGAAAGAAGAUAACAAGAAAAUUUAAAUCUGGAUUUAGUGUGAAUCAGUCAAGGGCAGAGGCAAGAGCAAGAGCUAGAGAGAGGACUAAAGAGAAACUGAAUGUUAAAAAGCUUGAUAAGGAGUCCAAGAGUGUUCAUGUUGACUGCUGUUCUUCAGAUUCAACACUCAACUCAAGCUUUUGGAAUUCAAUUGAAUCGCAAAGCGAUUAUAAUGACAAGAUUGGGGAGUCGAUUAUGGAGGAUAAGAUCUCAAUGCUGUAUAGUUAUCAGCACGAUCUUGCUGUGUCGAAUGAUUCGAGCUCUAAGUUCAAAGGUUUGCCUAAAUUUACAGAUGUCCACGAGCAGCCUCAGCCUGGUGACUGUGCAAUGAUUUAGAUCUAUUCAAGGUCAUGGUCAGCCAAGAGGCAGCAAUAAAGAUCUGGUGAUCCUGAUCCACAUCCAUAAGUACCUAGUCUGGCUGAGCUGGACCGAUAUUGUGAGGAUGAUCUGGGCAUGCUAUCUGGGGUUCUUAAAUCUCACUAUUGCCUAUCAAUUAAUCAUAUUUCUUGCUGUUAUAUUAGUCACUGAUUACCAUGAACGUAUAUACGGAGAGUACGAGUACCAUUUGCAGAAAGAGAGCCUGCUUUAGUAUUCUAUAGAGAGAGAGAGAGAGAGAGAGAGAGAGUUUGGGGAACAGACACAAAGGGAAGGGAUGUGAAGGUAGUUGCAGAGUGGGUGUUAAGUACUGUGAUUAUAAUGUGAAUUGUCAUUUCUGCUG